GACGAACGCUGGCGGCGUGCCUAAUACAUGCAAGUUGAGCGCUGAAGGUUGGUACUUGUACCAACUGGAUGAGCAGCGGACGGGUGAGUAACGCGUGGGGAAUCUGCCUUUGAGCGGGGGACAACAUUUGGAAACGAAUGCUAAUACCGCAUAAUAACUUUAAACACAAGUUUUAAGUUUGAAAGAUGCAAUUGCAUCACUCAAUGAUGAUCCCGCGUUGUAUUAGCUAGUUGGUGAGGUAAAGGCUCACCAAGGCGAUGAUACAUAGCCGACCUGAGAGGGUGAUCGGCCACAUUGGGACUGAGACACGGCCCAAACUCCUACGGGAGGCAGCAGUAGGGAAUCUUCGGCAAUGGACGAAAGUCUGACCGAGCAACGCCGCGUGAGUGAAGAAGGUUUUCGGAUCGUAAAACUCUGUUGGUAGGGAAGAACGUUGGUGAGAGUGGAAAGCUCAUCAAGUGACGGUAACUACCCAGAAAGGGACGGCUAACUACGUG
rnacentral:rRNA from 1 species